rnacentral:rRNA from 1 species
UACGUAGGGCGCGAGCGUUGUCCGGAUUUAUUGGGCGUAAAGGGCUCGUAGGCGGCGUGUCGCGUCGGGAGUGAAAGCCCACGGCUUAACCGUGGAAGUGCAUGGGAAACUGGAAAGCUUGAGUACUUAAGAGGAUCGCGGAAUUCCCGGUGUAGAGGUGAAAUUCGUAGAUAUCGGGAGGAACACCAGUGGCGAAGGCGGCGAUCUGGGAAGAUACUGACGCUGAGGUGCGAAAGCGUGGGGAGCAAACAGG